rnacentral:ncRNA from 1 species
GACUCCCUUCCGUGGCUUGGUGGAAAAGUCACAAGGGUACCAUAGCGAGGAACCCCGGUUCGAAACCGGCAGGAUCCGCUAUGAGCGUAAGUGAGGCGCUUGCGCGUUGAACCCGGCCAAAGACCCCCAGACACGGAAAGGAGUCUUUU